GAUGAACGCUGGCUACAGGCUUAACACAUGCAAGUCGAGGGGAAACGACGGGGAAGCUUGCUUCCCCGGGCGUCGACCGGCGCACGGGUGAGUAACGCGUAUCCAACCUGCCUCUGACUGAGGGAUAACCCGUCGAAAGUCGGCCUAAUACCUCAUGGCAUCGUCUGCGGGCAUCCAACGACGAUUAAAGAUUUCAUCGGUCAGAGAUGGGGAUGCGUCUGAUUAGCUUGUUGGCGGGGUAACGGCCCACCAAGGCGACGAUCAGUAGGGGUUCUGAGAGGAAGGUCCCCCACAUUGGAACUGAGACACGGUCCAAACUCCUACGGGAGGCAGCAGUGAGGAAUAUUGGUCAAUGGGCGAGAGCCUGAACCAGCCAAGUAGCGUGCAGGAUGACGGCCCUAUGGGUUGUAAACUGCUUUUGUGCGGGGAUAAAGUGAGGGACGUGUCCUUCAUUGCAGGUACCGCAUGAAUAAGGACCGGCUAAUUCCGUG
rnacentral:rRNA from 1 species